rnacentral:rRNA from 1 species
UACGUAGGUCCCGAGCGUUGUCCGGAUUUAUUGGGCGUAAAGCGAGCGCAGGUGGUUUAUUAAAUCUGGUGUAAAAGGCAGUGGCUCAACCAUUGUAUGCAUUGGAAACUGGUAGACUUGAGUGCAGGAGAAGAGAGUGGAAUUCCAUGUGUAGCGGUGAAAUGCGUAGAUAUAUGGAGGAACACCGGUGGCGAAAGCGGCUCUCUGGCCUGUAACUGACACUGAGGCUCGAAAGCGUGGGGAGCAAACAGG